AGCAGCGUGGCGCAGUGGAAGCGUGCUGGGCCCAUAACCCAGAGGUCGGUGGAUCGAAACCACUCCCUACUA
rfam:Angiostrongylus costaricensis strain Costa Rica genome assembly, scaffold: ACOC_contig0003208